rnacentral:rRNA from 1 species
AGCUUGCUCCCAUUUCUCAGCGGCGGACGGGUGAGUAACACGUGGGCAACCUGCCCUGCAGACUGGGAUAACUCCGGGAAACCGGAGCUAAUACCGGGUAAUACGUAGCAUCGCAUGAUGCAACGUUGAAAGUUGGCCUUUGGCUAACACUGUAGGAUGGGCCCGCGGCGCAUUAGCUAGUUGGUAAGGUAACGGCUUACCAAGGCCACGAUGCGUAGCCGACCUGAGAGGGUGAUCGGCCACACUGGGACUGAGACACGGCCCAGACUCCUACGGGAGGCAGCAGUAGGGAAUCUUCCGCAAUGGACGAAAGUCUGACGGAGCAACGCCGCGUGAGUGACGAAGGCCUUCGGGUCGUAAAGCUCUGUUGUUAGGGAAGAACAAGUACCGUUCGAAUAGGGCGGUACCUUGACGGUACCUAACCAGAAAGCCACGGCUAACUACGUGCCAGCAGCCGCGGUAAUACGUAGGUGGCAAGCGUUGUCCGGAAUUAUUGGGCGUAAAGCGCGCGCAGGCGGUCUCUUAAGUCUGAUGUGAAAGCCCACGGCUCAACCGUGGAGGGCCAUUGGAAACUGGGGGACUUGAGUGCAGAAGAGGAGAGUGGAAUUCCACGUGUAGCGGUGAAAUGCGUAGAUAUGUGGAGGAACACCAGUGGCGAAGGCGGCUCUCUGGUCUGUAACUGACGCUGAGGCGCGAAAGCGUGGGGAGCGAACAGGAUUAGAUACCCUGGUAGUCCACGCCGUAAACGAUGAGUGCUAGGU